rnacentral:snRNA from 1 species
UUAGAACAAUAAAAUUAGAAAGAUAGAGAAGAUUAGCAUGGCCCCUAUGCAAGCAUGACAUGCAAAUCUGUGAAACAUUCUAGAUUUUU